rnacentral:rRNA from 1 species
UCUGAUUAACUAGUUGGUGAUGUAAUGGCUCACCAAGGCCACGAUCAGUAGCUGGUCUGACAGGAUGACCACCCACACUGGGACUGAUACACGGCCCACACUCCUACGGGAGGCAGCAGUGGGGAAUCUUGCCCAAUGGGCGAAAGCCUGACGCAACCAUGCCGCGUGAAUGAUGAAGGUCUUAAGAUUGUAAAAUUCUUUCACCGGGGACGAUAAUGACGGUACCCGGAUAAGAAGCCCCGGCUAACUUCGUGCCAGCAGCCGCGGUAAUACAU